UACGGGGGGAGCAAGCGUUGUUCGGAUUUACUGGGCGUAAAGGGCGCGUAGGCGGUCAGCACAAGUCAGUUGUGAAAUCUCCGGGCUUAACUCGGAAAGGUCAACUGAUACUGUGCGACUAGAGUGCAGAAGGGGCAACUGGAAUUCUCGGUGUAGUGGUGAAAUGCGUAGAUAUCGGGAGGAACACCAGUGGCGAAGGCGACUACCUGGCCUGUUCUUGACGCUGAGGCGGCGAAAGCUAGGGAGCAAACGGG
rnacentral:rRNA from 1 species